rnacentral:rRNA from 1 species
UACGAAGGGGGCUAGCGUUGCUCGGAAUCACUGGGCGUAAAGCGCACGUAGGCGGAUUGCUAAGUCAGGGGUGAAAUCCUGGAGCUCAACUCCAGAACUGCCUUUGAUACUGAGGAGCUCGAGUCCGGGAGAGGUGAGUGGAACUGCGAGUGUAGAGGUGAAAUUCGUAGAUAUUCGCAAGAACACCAGUGGCGAAGGCGGCUCACUGGCCCGGUACUGACGCUGAGGUGCGAAAGCGUGGGGAGCAAACAGG